UACAGAGGGUGCAAGCGUUGUUCGGAAUUACUGGGCGUAAAGCGCGUGUAGGCGGCGGCGUAAGUCGGAUGUGAAAGCCCUCGGCUUAACCGAGGAAGUGCAUUCGAUACUGUGUCCCUUGAGUACCGGAGGGGAUGGCGGAAUUCCCGGUGUAGAGGUGAAAUUCGUAGAUAUCGGGAGGAACACCUGUGGCGAAGGCGGCCAUCUGGACGGUGACUGACGCUGAGACGCGAAAGCGUGGGUAGCAAACAGG
rnacentral:rRNA from 1 species